rnacentral:rRNA from 1 species
AGUGAACGCUGGCGGUAUGCCUAACACAUGCAAGUCGAACGGCAGCACAGUAAGAUCUUGCUCUUACGGGUGGCGAGUGGCGGACGGGUGAGAAAUACAUCGGAAUCUACUUUUUCUUGGGGGAUAACGUAGGGAAACUUACGCUACUACCGCAUACUACCUACGGGUGAAAGCAGAAGAUCUUCAGACCUUUCGCGAUUGAAUGAGCCGAUGUCGGAUUAGCUAGUUGGCUGGGUAAGGGCACACCAAGGCGACGAUCCGUAGCUGACCUGAGAGGAUGAUCAGCCACACUGGAACUGAGACACGGUCCAGACUCCUACGGGAGGCAGCAGUGGGGAAUCUUGGACAAUGGGCGCAAGCCUGAUGCAGCCACACCGCGUGGGUGAAGAAGGUCUUCGGGUUGUAAAGCUCUUUUGUUGGGAAAGAAAAGAAGCAGAUUAAUCCGCCGAUGUUCUGACGGUACCCAAAGAAUAAGCCACGGCUAACUUCGUG